UACGUAGGGUGCAAGCGUUAAUCGGAAUUGCUGGGCGUAAAGCGUGCGCAGGCGGUUUGUUAAGACAGAUGUGAAAUCCCCGGGCUUAACCUGGGAACUGCAUUUGUGACUGGCAAGCUAGAGUAUGGCAGAGGGGGGUAGAAUUCCACGUGUAGCAGUGAAAUGCGUAGAGAUGUGGAGGAAUACCGAUGGCGAAGGCAGCCCCCUGGGCCAAUACUGACGCUACAUGCACGAAAGCGUGGGAGCAAACAGG
rnacentral:rRNA from 1 species